CAACUUUCAGCAACGGAUCUCUUGGCUCUCGCAUCGAUGAAGAACGCAGCGAAUUGCGAUAAGUAAUGUGAAUUGCAGAUUUUCAGUGAAUCAUCGAAUCUUUGAACGCACCUUGCGCUCCUUGGUAUUCUGAGGAGCAUGCCUGUUUGAGUGUCAUUG
rnacentral:rRNA from 1 species